rnacentral:rRNA from 1 species
GAUGAACGCUGGCGGCGUGCCUAAUACAUGCAAGUCGAACGAAGAAUUCUUCGGGAUUCUUAGUGGCGAACGGGUGAGUAAUACAUAAGCAACCUGCCCCUAUGUCUGGGAUAACUAUUGGAAACGAUAGCUAAUACCGGAUACGAGUAUUUCUGGCAUCUGAAAUACUUAAAAGAUGGGAUACAUCGCAAAGGGAUGGGCUUAUGGCGCAUUAGCUAGUUGGUGAGGUAACUGCUCACCAAGGCGAUGAUGCGUAGCCGAUUUGAGAGGAUGAACGGCCACAUUGGGACUGAGACACGGCCCAGACUCCUACGGGAGGCAGCAGUAGGGAAUUUUCGGCAAUGGGCGAAAGCCUGACCGAGCAACGCCGCGUGAGUGAAGACGGCCUGGU